rnacentral:tRNA from 1 species
CGGAGAGUAACUCAGUCUGGUAGAGUGCCUGCUUUGGGAGCAGGACGUCGCAGGUUCGAAUCCUGUCUCUCCGACCA